rnacentral:rRNA from 1 species
CAGUAGCCGCGGUAAUACGUAGGUCCCGAGCGUUGUCCGGAUUUAUUGGGCGUAAAGCGAGCGCAGGCGGUUAGAUAAGUCCGAAGUUAAAGGCUGUGGCUUAACCAUAGUACGCUUUGGAAACUGAUUAACUUGAGUGCAAGAGGGGAGAGUGGGAUUCCAUGUGUAGCGGUGAAAUGCGUAGAUAUAUGGAGGAACACCGGUGGCGAAAGCGGCUCUCUGGCUUGUAACUGACGCUGAGGCUCGAAAGCGUGGGGAGCAAACAGGAUUAGAUACCCCGGUAGUCCCUGUCUCUUAUACA